UAACCCAACCGCCACCCGGAAGUGCAGACGUCUCGGAGGUUUUGAGCGUCCUUUUAGGAAGGACUGCUGUUACUCUUUCAUUCACCCCACAAACGAUUCUUGGAUGCCUGUCCUGUGGCAGAGAAAUGAACGAGACACAGCCCGUGUCUGCAUAAAGCACUGCAGGACCCGGUGCAAUGCUGUAUUCCUAGGAGCCGGAGGGGCGGGAGGCCGGAUGGAGAAAACUUUCCAGCAGGGGUAACGUCAUUGGGCCUAGGUUGUCUGCCAUGUAGUCACUGGUGUUCGGUGGGGGGGAUCUCCGGUUGGCAGAGCAUUGCGGGUAGAAGGAACAUUCCGAGUAGAGGAAAGAUGGCUGUCAUGAAAACGUCUGCCUGUGCGGAGUGCAUGGGUGCCUGGAGAGGAACCUGGGAAGAUUUGGAGCCUGGGAAGUCCACGAUCCAGAGAACACAUCAAGUGAGGGCCUUCUUCUGGAUGGGAACUCUCUACACGGUCCUGUGGCAACACAAGAUAUCACAUGGCAAGAGAGUGGCAAGAGCUAUCUCAUGUGCUCAUUAUAAAGCCACCAGUCCAUGGCCAUGAUAACUCAUUACUCCAUGAAUGGAUUAACCCAUUCAUGAGGGCACAGUCCUCAUGAUCCAAUCACCUCUCAAAGGUCUCACCUUUCAAAUAUAAUCGGAUUUCCCACCCUCUUGAUACUGUUACAGUGGGGAUCAAGUUCCCAACAUAUGAACUUUUGGGGGACACAUCUGACCCAUAGCAUAGGCCUAAGGAAAAAAAUUUUUUUUGGCCUAAAUUUUUUACAGAUGAGUAACGGAGUAUACUUAGGAGCUUGUCCUAACCUUUCCUCCUAUUUAUCCUGUAAGUGAGUUCUCCUCUUCUCUGAGCAGGCAGCAGGAACCUAGCAUAGGGAGGGACUUGGGUUUGAACCCCUGCUCCUCCACUUCUAACUCUGUGAAAUGGGGAGAUUAUUCAACAUUUUUGAGCCUCAGUUUCUUCAUGGGUCAAAUAAAACUAAUAAUUGUA